AUACAAUCGAGACCGCAAUUGAAGAUUAUAUAGAAAACCACCUUUUAAAAGAAAAUGAGCUACUUAAUUAAUGUGUACAAGAUAUGCCUUCGGAAGAUAUCCACAAUGAGAAAGAUUACAACAGAAGAGAGUCUAACGUCACAGUCAUC